rnacentral:rRNA from 1 species
CCUACGGGGGGCUGCAGUGGGGAAUAUUGGACAAUGGGGGGAACCCUGAUCCAGCCAUGCCGCGUGUGUGAAGAAGGCCCUCGGGUUGUAAAGCACUUUCAGUGAGGAAGAACGCCUGGUGGUUAAUACCCAUCAGGAAAGACAUCACUCACAGAAGAAGCACCGGCUAACUCCGUGUCAGCAGCCGCGGUAAUACGGAGGGUGCGAGCGUUAAUCGGAAUUACUGGGCGUAAAGCGCGCGUAGGUGGCUUGAUAAGCCGGUUGUGAAAGCCCCGGGCUCAACCUGGGAACGGCAUCCGGAACUGUCAAGCUAGAGUGCAGGAGAGGAAGGUAGAAUUCCCGGUGUAGCGGUGAAAUGCGUAGAGAUCGGGAGGAAUACCAGUGGCGAAGGCGGCCUUCUGGACUGACACUGACACUGAGGUGCGAAAGCGUGGGUAGCAAACAGGAUUAGAUACCCGAGUAGUC